rnacentral:lncRNA from 1 species
UUCUGUUUCCGGAGAGCUAAAUACAUAAAAUUUCUGUUAACCUUUGUUUCAGACACAGUCUGUGAUAGGGUGCUUUUCAAUUUUUAAUUCUGCAAUCUGUUUUAUGUUUUUACUUUAGAAAUUAAAACUGUUACAUGUGUAGUAUUUAAUUUUACAAUGUUCUGUAUGUAUCAGUGUUCUCAUCCACAUAAUCACCCACAGCCCAGAAAUUUAUUUUACUCACAGUUUUGUAGCUGAAGAUUAGCCAAAACUCAGAGAAAUUAAGUAAAUCACCCUUUUCAUGUGUUCUCUCUCGUCCUCUAAUCAUUUUGUAAAACAGCUUACUUCCUUAUUUUUUUUUUUUCCACUAGUCUCUUUAAGGGAGUUUACAUGGUUGUUAGAGCUAAAAUACACCAAUUAAAGUCUAGCUUGGUUUACAAGAGAUAUAUAAUGAAAAUGUUAACAAC